UACAAUAUUUUGACUCUUCGUCUUAUUUGAAAUUUUUUUUGCGAUUAAUAUUUCUAUUCUUACUAGAUGAUAAAACAUAAAUAGUAUUUUAUGUGUGACUCAUUUUUUUCAAGUUUUUUACAAUUUUUUUAAAUAAGACGAAUGGUCAAACGUUGGACAUGGAAAAAC
rnacentral:pre_miRNA from 1 species